rnacentral:rRNA from 1 species
GCGAACGCUGGCGGCAGGCCUCACCCAUGCAAGUCGAACGAACCUUUCGGGGUUAGUGGCGGACGGGUGAGUAACACGUGGGAACGUGCCUUUAGGUUCGGAAUAACUCAGGGAAACUUGUGCUAAUACCGAAUGUGCCCUUCGGGGGAAAGAUUUAUCGCCUUUAGAGCGGCCCGCGUCUGAUUAGCUAGUUGGUUGAGGUAAUGGCUCACCAAGGCGACGAUCAGUAGCUGGUCUGAGAGGAUGAUCAGCCACAUUGGGACUGAGACACGGCCCAAACUCCUACGGGAGGCAGCAGUGGGGAAUCUUGCGCAAUGGGCGAAAGCCUGACGCAGCCAUGCCGCGUGAAUGAUGAAGGUCUUAGGAUUGUAAAAUUCUUUCACCGGGGACGAUAAUGACGGUACCCGGAGAAGAAGCCCCGGCUAACUUCGUG